CAAUGAGUGUUUAAUGGCACUUUAAAUCCAUUACCCACCUUGUGUGCACUGUAAGGAGGGAGGCAGAAGCUCUUCUGUCACCUUUCCAUUAUACAUAUACUAUCUUCAUAUCUCGUCUACUUUUGUAUGAGUAUAAAACUCUAAUA
rnacentral:misc_RNA from 1 species